CCUGGAGUGCUGCUCGACAGGGGCAGAGGUGGGGGGGGUGGCGGAUGUCCAGUGAUUCAACCACAUGUGAUAUAGAUGACCAAGUGACUGCUUCCUUGGGGUCCGCACAUCAGUGGAAGACACCCACACUGGUUGUGGCUGACUUCAUCAAACUCUGGCUCCCCGAACCGGAAUGAAAUGCAGUUAACUCUUUAGAAAACUUUCGCAGGAAAAGCGCCUCGUGUGAUCUGGAACAAAGACAUUUUAUAAUCAGAUUUAUCAAGCUGUGAAGAGGGAGUUUUAGCGAACGGAAGCAGCAGCAUUCUGUCACCAGGAAAUACUGCUUUAUCCAGAACUGGUAAGUGAAAAGUGGCAUCGCUCCCUAAUAGAUAUCAUAUGGUGUAUGUGGGAAUUGUAAAAUUGUUCACAGACCCCUAACAACUGUGUUGAACCAGAGAACACAUAAACAGGGUGAGGAAUUCUAGAGAGAAGUAGCCCAAGAAUAUAGCAUAAAGGCUGAGAAGAAGCCAGGUUAUUAACAAAGAUGAGCUGGGCUCUACCAGUUUAGACAAAUACAUGUAAUAUAACUCAUUGGCUUCCCGCCCAAUUCUUUUUAGUGGGGAGAGACAAAUAAAAUGGGUUGUUUGGUAGAGUUGGGGCAUUGACAUUCCAUGGGUAUACAUUUCCAUUUAGUCUGAAUAGAAUGUAUAGUAUUUGAAGGGAUGCUUUCAGAAUUCCUCAGCUCACUCUCCUAUCUCUCCCUCCACGCAAGGAUGUCAAGCAUUUAGUUAGAACUCUACAAAAUGAAAGUUUAAGUAAUGCAUUGGAAACAUUUUCUACUGAUCGUGAAGGGCAGAUUAAGCUGGUAAUAGACUUUUUUACAUUUGUGUCAUGAAUUUUAAGACUGUUCUAUUGGAUUACAAUUAGUACAACAAAAGGGUGGAUAUUUCUAAAUGGUCCAUCAUGUUUUGAGAGAUUGUGAUUAGCUGUUCUUACUGGUGAACAUGUGUCUGUCUGUCUUCCUCUGAAACAAAUUCAGUUUUGUCAUCUUGAAUCUGAGCUGCCCCUAUGUUUAAAAUUUCCAGAAAGAUACAAUAAAGCUUCGAAUACCUGUGUGAUAUACAAUGGGUUCUCAUUUGUCAACUGUAAAAAACCACAGUUUCGUAUUAGGCAUUUUAUAUUUGAUUUCUUGAUUUGGCUUUUUAAGAAUGAUUGUGCCAGGAAAGUGGACUAGAAUAAGAAAAUAUAAUUUGAAGGGUGGGAGGCUACCUGAUCUUACCAGUUUUCUUAUUGGUCAGUAGAAGCAAUCAUGUGAUGUCUACUUACAGAAUCAAAUGGGGAAAAAAAUGUUGGUUAACUGCUAGUGAUUAUAUAGGUAGUUUUGGUGAUGUUCCCUUAUGAAUGUGACUGUAUAUAAUUGAAAUUGUUAUUGACAGAGUGGUAGGUUUGGGGUUAUAUAGGAUACAGUGUUAUUUAUUUGUUUUUUUUUUUAACAACCUUAAGCCAAAUUGAAAGUUGACUCUGUCUGUCUGACUUUUGCUUCCCAUUCUGUUAAAUUGAAAGGGAGAAAUGUGUAAUAAAAAACAGGAUCUCAGUGUUGCAGUUUCUCUCUGUUGGCACUGGAGUGGGAUGAGGUUGGAGGGGAGGGGGAUGAAUCUAGGAGGAUCUGUUAAUUAUUUUUUUCCUUACACACUUUGAGAACUCUUGGUCAAUUUUUCUCAGACUAGUAGUUCUCAAGACUUCUGCCUAAGGAUUUAUUUUCAAAGAAGUAAAUAAAAAGCAAGGUGAACAUAGCCGUUAAGGGCAGUCCAAUAAAUCAGACUGGUGAUCCAAACGUGUGACUAUUACAAGUUAUUUGACUUUGUUAAGGUGUGGCUGAGGAUGGGGAAAAAUGCUGUUUGUUUCCCUGAAGCCCCUGAAUUUGUGGGGUGUACAAUCUUGAAGGCAGAAAAAUGGUGACAAAGCUUUAAGAUAUUUACAGGUAACUUCUAUCCGACUGUGAGCUUGUGUUCAGUGAUUCAGAGCUCAAAGUAAUUGUGAAUUUCAUGUAAGUACUUGGGCGAAAACAUGAUGGUAUAAUAAGCUGGCUAAAUACUGCUAUGCUUAAUGGAAAAAAAAAGCCUCUGUAAUUUCUAGGUUUUACUCAUCCAUUUAGAAGCCAUUGUUUCGAAUGACAAAAAUAUAAUAGAAGCAGGUUGAAACAAUAGAUACCAGAAAGUAGAUUCCAGAACAAUUCUUUUCAAUCUUCGUGUUUUUAAUUCUGUCUGCUCUUUUGCUAUCAGUUUCUUAAUUUUCAGAAAUAUGUUGUAAAAUAACUACCAUAACAUUGCCCUGAAUUCUCCACUUGGGGUUAUUGAGGGGAUGAAUAUUUUUGUAUACUCUGAAAAGAUAUUAAUGGUAUGCAUAUGUCUUUGUGGGCCUGUGAAACGACAAACUGAAGGGAUUCUGGGCAAAAUAAUGUCUCAAAUCGUAUCUGAUGUUUGCAUAUUCAGGGAUCUAAACACGUUCCCUUUGGGCUUGUUUCUUAAAUUUUUGGUGUGGUGUGCAGUUUUGUCCAAUAGCAUUUUUUGGGGGGUAGGUAUAUGGCUGUGUGUAUAUAUUCGACUGGAGGGGGGGACUUUAGUUGUCAGUGAAACAAGUGGCUGUUUGUUAGAACCUAGAUAAGCCUCCUAGUGUUGUUCCUAUGACAACUGAGGGGUUGGGUGUUGAAAUGUAGCUUUAAGUUCUCGGUUUGGAAAUGUCAUUCAGACCUCCCACUACAGUCUCAUUGAGUAGGAGGAUAAUGAGAAGGGGAAAAAGCCAUGAAGCAGUAGGAGUAUCUCCGUUCAUUUCAUGUCUUCCUGACUUGCCUUUGUGUACAGAUCGCCAUGGGAGUGGUAAACACAGGUUGUGAACAAAGCGAUACUUCAGGAUAAAAUAAAUGGAAAGGGGUCAGAAAAGUUGGGGGAAGAUAAAUAACAACAUAUGGGGAUAAUAACGAGGCAGGAGAAGGCGGCUUCCAUGGGUUUGUGCAAAUCCUUUAUCCAGUGCUGACCAGCAGUGAGAACAUCUUGAACCAGUUACUGUGCAGCUUUUCAAGAGCUGCAGACCUUUCCUUAAAAUGCAACGUGGAGCAUUCUGCAUUCCUUUGGUAGCAGGAGACUUUCCCACUUUGGCAUGACGUUGGCUCACCUCCUCUAGCCUGGCCGCAGAGGAUACAGUUUGCUUUGAAGAAUAGCUUCUUGUGCUUUCAUUCCCGUGGUCAACCUAAUGAAGUAAUACCUUGCUUAAAAACGAAGUGUAACUGCUUACUUGAAUGUAGAACGUGGAGUCAUUGAUUAUGAAAAGCAAGGUAAGGUGUUAUCUUAAAGGACCUUCCUUUCCUGCCUUGGAAGACUUUCAUUCUCCUUAAGCAUUUAUUCUACUAAAAGCCCAUUGCUGGUGGUGGCCUUGGAGGAAUGCUUUAGUUUUCCCGCCUCUCCUAAAAGCAAGAUGGGUAAAGACUUUUUAAAUGAAAGCCCAUCGAUUUCUCUCAGUUCAGAUUUGUGUGACGUCUACGUCGAGUGAGACUAAAGUUCUUAAAAAUGAGAGCAACUGAGUUGAGUUUGUACGGGCCCAGCGAAAAACUUCCCAGGAUGCUUUCAAAGUUCUGAUCACCUGGGGAAAAAACUCUCCGAACUUCCAGGCAUUUUCUAGUGAGUAUCAAGUAUGUGACAGUGGUUAGUUACCCUGACCCCAAGAAGGUGCCUGUUCACAGCACCCAUUGAAGUGUUUGCUCCCUGAGAGUCCCAGGCUUUGGAAACAAGUAGCCCUGUGCUUCAAGCUCAUUCUGCCCCUUGCUGGUGGAGUAAACUACUCCAUUUAUUUCCCUAAGCCCUAGAGAGAGGAGUGUCAGUCCAAACUAGCUCAGAGGGCUGUUGGGUGAAAUGAGAGAACAUGUGUAAGGCACAUGCUGUGAUCACUGGAUUAGUGGUGCUUAACACACUUGAGUUCCCUUCCCAUAUCCUUUCGGGAACAGACUUCAGUUUAGUCUCAAAGCCUGUGGAUCCAUUCUCAUAAGUUCUAGGUCUUUCUGUUUUGCAUCAGAUGAAGGAAAACAGUGAUGGCAAUGGUGGCCGCCAUUCCACCCCCCGCCCCACUUCACCACCAUGUUCUAGGUAGGCAUUCUCACAAGUGCUCUGCCUGCAUUGUCCUGUUUAAUCCUCCAGACAACCCACUGGUGCAGUGAGUAUGCCCAUUUCAUAGAUGAGGACACUGAGGCACAGGGCUGAGGGACAUGUUUGGGGCCACUCAUUCCCCUGAUAAGCUGGACCCACAGUCUGGAUCCAAAUGGGCUCUUACCAGUAUAGACGGGUAAGAACUUCUGGCAGAAAAGCAGAAUAAAAGUUGACUGAACCUGAAAGUCUCAGAAAUGGUCUUCUCAUUUCUAUUCUGCCAAGUGUCACAUCUUCCAGGCCUGUCCCUCUCAAUAUUGAAAUACACAGUUGACUUUUUCUGCUUCUUAUUUCACGAAUCAACGGGAGCAGUUUUAGUCAUUUGUGUUUUAUGAGUUUAAAUUAGGCCACUGAAGUCCAAGAGGGGAAUUCCUUGUUUUCAUUUGAUCUCAUGCACUAACAACUUUACUCAUGUAACUUCCCCUAUUUUUUUUCUCAAAUGUUUUUGCUUGAAAGUGGGGGUGGGAGGGAGAAGUAUGUGAGCAUUUGGGUCCCAGGGAUGCACUUUCAGUAGGCUUUCUGGAGAUUCUUGAUCUGGUAUAGAAUGAAGCCUUAGGAAAGUAAAAUGAGUAAGAGUGUAUAAUGACUAAUGUUUUUCUCCUUUAUCUCCAUCUAGUUCUGGGUGCAAUCUGAAAGGGCAAAACUGCAAAGUCAGGAAUUGCAGGGGGGCACCUGGGUGGCUCAGUGGGUUAAGCAUCUGCCUUCAGCUCAGGUCAUGAUCUCAGGUCCUGGGAUCAAGCUGCAUAUUGGGCUCCCUGCAGAGCCUCUCCCUUUCCCACUGCU